rnacentral:rRNA from 1 species
AUGGUCGAGGCGGUGGCCGGCUGGCUGGUGUGCCCGGUCAUACGGAUCGUCGUCGACAAGGCCAAGUCCUGCGCCGCCGACCGGGUCAGGUGGCUCAACGGCGGCGUCCCCGAUGCGCUCCAGCAGCUGGACGGGGCGCUCACGCAGCUCCGCGCCGUGGCGAGCGCCGUCGAGCGGAGCAGCGGCGCGAGGGGCAGCGGCGGCGACCUCGACCGGUGGCUGCUGCAGCUCAAGGACGCCGUCUACGAGGCUGACGAGGUCGUCGACGAGUUCGAAUACCGGACGCUCGGCCCCCCGCGCUCCCCCCUUGUCAAGAUCGGCAAGCAGCUCGUCGGCACCGACGAGUCGCUAAACAGGCUCAAGGGCGUCAUCAAGAAGCUGGACGGCAUCAACGACAGCUCCGGGCGGCUGAUGCAGGCGGCAGGCCUCCAGCCGUCGUGGUCCGGCGAGUUGAGCGGCCACCCACCCACCCCGGUCGGCCCGGCCACAGGCUCGCUGCUGGAGGACAGCGAGGUGUUUGGGCGCGACGCGGAGCGGAAGGACAUGGUGUCUUGGCUGAUCGCCGCCAGCCCGCCCCACCGCGCAGAUCCGCGCGCCGCCGCCAUCCCCGUGGCCGCGAUCAUAGGGCUCGGCGGGAUGGGGAAGACCACGCUGGCGCGCGUCCUGCUCCACGACGAUUUGGUGAAGGAGACAUUCAAUCUGGUGAUGUGGGUGUGUCCUUCUGCCGCUUACCACAAGGUCGGGCUCCUGAAGCAAAUCCUGCAGUCUGCUGGGGUAGAAUUUCCUGACAGCAUGAACAACUUUGACUGUCUCCAGAGGCGGCUCGAGGAUGCCGUGUCAUCCAAGAGGUUCCUGCUGGUUCUCGACAACGUCUGGAACAAAGGGGGCAUGGACGAGGAUAACUGGAGCGAGGUCUUGGCUCCUCUCAGAUGUGGCCAGCCCGGCAGCAAGAUCAUGGUCACCACCAGGAAAAGGAUUGUAGCAAACUUGCUGAAGGCGAGCAAGCUGGUUCCGUUGGACGGACUGGCGUUCGCCGAUGUUUGGUCGCUGUUCACGAGGAUUGCUUUCAGCAAUGACAGCGCUGACAAGCAUCCAGCCUUGCAGGCAAUUGGAGAGCAGCUUGUUCAGAAGCUCAAGGGGUUGCCAUUGGCUGCCAAGGUCGUCGGCGGGAUGCUCAAGGCUUCCCAGAGUAUCAGCCACUGGAAGAGGAUCUCAGAGAUGGAAAGCUAUGCCAAUGUAACCUCAACGCUAGAGCUAUGUUACCGGAACCUGCAGGAGCACCUGCAGCCGUGCUUUGCAAUCUGCAGCAUAUUUCCGAAGAGCUGGCGGUUCAAGCGUGACAAGCUGGUUAAGAUUUGGAUGGCCCUUGAUUUCAUCCGGCCAGCUGAUGGGAGGAAACUGGAGGAUGUAGGGAAGGAGUACUUUGAUCAACUUGUGGAGGGGUCCUUCUUCCAUGAGCGCAAAGAGGGCCAUCAGAAUUACUAUUACAUUCAUGACCUGAUGCAUGACCUGGCAGAGAGUGUCUCACAAGUUGACUGUGGAAGAGUUGAGAGUGCUGAGGAGAAGCAGAUACCUCGUACAGUUCGGCACUUAUCUGUUACUGCUGAUGCUGUCACGCAGCUCAAAGGUCGGUGCGAGCUCAAAAGAUUGCACACAUUCAUAAUUCUAAAGCAUUCCUCGUCUUCUCUCAGUCAAUUGCCAGAUGAUAUCCUCAAGGAAUUAAAGGGUGUCCGUGUGCUUGGUUUGGAUGGCUGCGAUAUGGUUGAUCUAUCGGAUAAAAUUGGUCAACUGAUGCACCUGAGGUACCUUGCUCUUUGCAAGACAAUUACAAGGCUUCCACAGUCAGUGACAAAACUGUUCCUUCUUCAGACCCUAAGCAUCCCUAAGAGGUGCCGCCUCGAGCAGUUUCCGAAAGAUAUGCGGAACUUGAAAUAUUUGCGCCAUUUGGAUAUGGACAGGGCAAGUACGUCGAAAGUUGUGGGUAUUGGGGAACUGAUUCAUCUCCAGGGAUCAAUUGAGUUCCAUGUUAAAAGGGAAAAAGGUCAUACGUUGGAAGAUUUGUCUGAUAUGAAUGGUCUCUGCAGAAAGCUCCAUAUCAAGAACCUUGAUGUUGUAUCCAGUAAACAAGAGGCCAGCAAAGCUGGCCUGGGAAAGAAACAGGGUAUUAAGGUGCUGGAACUAGAAUGGAAUUCCACUGGUAAGAGUGACCCUUCUGUCGAUGCUGAAGUGUUAGAAGGCCUUGAACCGCACCCGCAUGUUGAAGAGGUCCGUAUCAGAAGAUAUCAUGGUGAUAAGUCACCGUGUUGGCUGGACAUGAGCUUGAGGGAGGGAAAUAAAUUGUGCCUACUCAAAUCUUUAUAUUUGACCAACUGUAGGAAGUGGAAGGUCCUGCCUCCCCUUGGGCAGCUUCCCUGCCUGAAGGUUUUGCAUUUGAAAGAGAUGUGCUCACUGAGAAAGAUUGGCAGUGAGUUCUAUGGAACCAAGUUGAUUGCAUUUCCAUGUCUGGCAGAACUUGAAUUUGAUGAUAUGCCACAAUGGGUUGAGUGGACCAAAGAAGAGAGCGUGACCAAUGUUUUUCCCAAGCUCCGUAAGCUGAGUCUUUUGAACUGUCCCAAAUUGGUUAAAGUGCCUCCUUUCGCUCAGUCCAUCAGGAAGGUCACUGUCCGAAACACAGGGUUUGCUUCACACAUGAAGCUAUCCUUCUCAUCAUCAUCGAGAGCUUGCAGUGUUGCACUAGAGACAUGUUGCACCACCAUCCUUACAAUAGGCUUGCUGCACCGGCAACAGGUGGAAGCAGUUGCAGUUUUGACUCUGCGGCGCUGCCAAGGCGUAAAGUUUGAGGACUUUCAGGCACUUGUCUCACUGAAGAAGCUGCAUAUAUCUCAUCUAGACAUAACAGAUGAGCAGCUGGGUACUUGUUUGCGAGGUCUACGAUCGCUUACCUCUCUGGAGAUAGACAACUGCAGCAACAUAACAUCUCUUCCACAUGUCGAGAGUUCAAGCGGAUUAACGACGUUGCAUAUUCGACAGUGCUCCAAGUUGUCCUCUCUGCAUUCCUUGCCGAGUUUUGCAGCACUGGAGAGCAUGUGGAUCGACAAUUGCUCCAAGCUCACCGUAGAGUCUUUCCCCGGCGACUUCAGCAGCCUCGGUUCUCUGAGAAAAUUGAACAUAAUGUGCUGCACGGGGCUGGAGUCGCUGCCAAGCGGCUUCCCGUCUUCACUGCAGGUUCUUGAUCUGAUUGGGGGCAAGCCAGCGCUGUUGAACCAGCUGCAGCUCAAGGACGGGCCAGAAUGGGAUAAAAUAGCUCAUAUCCCGAUUAAACGGAUCCACUGA